GGCAAUUCAGCUUUGAACUCAGUUUAGCAACUCAAAUUCAAUCCCAGAGUCUCUGAGUGGCUUGAACUCAAAUUCAAGUCCCUGCAGAGCAGGGAUUCAAAUCUGGGUUUCUUACAACUCACAUGACUGCCCUAACCACUAGGCUAUUGAUUAUUGUCUGUCUGCCUCUGUCUGUCUCCUUCCCGCCCCCAUCUCUCAGUUUCAUCUUGAUGUGGAGUGGGAACAAUUUCUGAACUCUUGAAAACAUUCACAGGACAGGAAAACCAUUUCCUGCCUCUCUCUGCUGCAGCAUUCUCCUCCCUCAUUGAACAAAGUGUCCCUGGCCAGUUGUCCGGAUACUGUGACCUUUCAAACAGAAGGUUUUGAAGGUGAGAUCCAACAGGACCUGUCCCACCACUCCCACCUCACUUUCUCUUCUUGCUCUCCUGUCACUGACACGUGUCACAGCACAGGAGAGUUUUGAGGAGAGAUUUGAAAUGGAAUGUGAAGAUGUGGCCGUCUGCUUCUUAGAUAAAACUAUUGUACAGAUGAAGGAAGAUGGCCUUCUUAGCGGACUGGAAGAACUAUGAAAUAACAUUCAAGGCUAGGUCUUCCAGGAGGAUGUUUGCCAGCAGCAGCAAAGUAGAGGCUGCAAGCAAGUAUGCCCACAGGAAGAAGAUGGGUGGGGAGGGCAGUUGGCCCUGGGUGUGCUGUGUGGUGUUACUCUUGGAGCUAUCAAAUCCCUUGCAAUUUAAUCCUUAAAGGAAUAAAAAAAAAAAAAUACUCAUAGCCAUACAUUUCCAAGAGUGUGCUUUGUAUUCUUUUGAAAUUCACCCAUAUAAAAAAGUGCAAUAUCCUGUUACUGCAAUUUGUUUUAUGUUUAACCAUGCGAUGAAACCAUUUUUCAUAUUUAGAAGGAGCUGCAGGCCACUUUAACAAAAAA